rnacentral:lncRNA from 1 species
AAAGAAGGAAUAAGAAAAAAAAAUUAAUAACAAAUGAUGAACAUACUACCUCUUUUCUUGUUUUUCCUUCUUUUUCUUGUUUUCUUGUGUUUUUUUUUUUUUUUUUUUCUCUCUCAUAGGAAUCAAAUAAUUCUGAGACAACAGGAAAAAUCCUCCAGCAGCUGGAUCAAGAUGGUGACCAAACAAUUGAUUUCAGUGAAUUAAUUUUGCUCAUGUUUGCAGUGACAACAGCCUACUAUGCCCACAUAAAACCUCUUCUCUAUCCCAAAUUAAAAGAAAGGGACAGAAGAUCUGCAAUUCAAGAAAAACAAGCAACAGAACUAGAAGGCAAGCAACUGCAAAAAGAAAAAUUCCAAGAGAGAGAUCAGGGUGAAGAGUCCCAGGAUGUGGAGAGACAUAAAGUGAGAGACCAGAGACCAACGCCUAGUGAUGAAAAGAGUCACAGAGUGAGAGACCAAAGCCUAGAAUUACAGGAUAUUGGAAGACACCAAGAGAGAGACCAGAGUCCAGAACCAAAGGAUGUUGGAAGGGAUCAAGUGAGACAACACAGCCCAGAUUUCCAGUAUAAUGCAAGACGAAAAAGUAGGGAGUGGACACCAACACCAAAAUCUGGAGGGCGCCAUCAAGUAAGGAAUCAAAACCCAGAACGAAGCAACAGUGGGACACAGAUUGGAGAACAUAAAUCUUCACCCAGAAGGGAUGAGACACAAGAAGUUAAUGAUCAGACCUCAGCACCAAGAAAUGAUGAGAGAAGACACCCGCAGGGAGAACUAAGUCCACAAGCCAGACGCAAUAAAGUACAACAAAAUGGAGAACUAAGACCAGACAUGAAAGAAGAUGGGAGACAACAGAUGAGUCCUAAGAUCUCAGCACCAACAGAUGAAGAGAGACAUUCAGGGAGAGGGUUGAGCUCAGAUAUUGAAAAUAGUGUAAGACAGCAAAUUAGAGAACAGAGACCAGCUCUGAGAGAGGAUGAGGUUCUGAGAGUUAGUGACGAAACUCCAAUACCACAGGAAAAUGGGAAAUACAAAGUGAGAAUUCAGACCCCAGUGACACACAGUGAUGAGAAACAAGUGAGAGACCUGAAUCCAGAGCCCAGGAUUACGGAGAGAAAUCAUGUUAGUAACCAGAGCCCAGAACCUAGAAGUGAUGAUAAACAACAAGUAAGAGAUCUAGGUCCAGAAAAUGGGAGAACUGAAUUUAAAGAGCAGAAAUCAGCUUCAAGAAAAUACGAAGAACGGAUCCAAAGUAGAGACCAGAUCCCCUUAUUAAGGGAUGAGGAGAGAAAACCAGUGAGAGAGCUGAGUCCUGAACCCCAGAUGGAUGAGAGACACCGCCUUAGGGAGCAAAGACCGGGACCCAGGGGUGAUGACAGAAGACAAAUUAGGGACCAGAGACCAACUGCAAUAGAAGCUGAGAGACCUGGAGUGAGAGACCAAACCCUAACACGAAUGGAUGAGAGGAGACUUCAAGUAAGCGAUGGGAGACCUGAACUUGGAAAUGAUGAGAGACACCAAGACAGGGAACAGAGACCAGCUCCAAGACAGGAAGAACGGAUCGAACAGAGAGACCAGAUCCCUUUAUCAAGGGAUGAGGAGAGAAACCCAGUGAGAGAGCUGAGUCCUGAACCCCAGAUUGAUGAGAGACACCGCCUUCGGGAGCAAGGACCGGAACCCAGGGGUGAUGACAGAAGACAAAUUAGGGACCAGAGACCAACUGCAAUAGAAGCUGAGAGACCUGGAGUGAGAGACCAAACCCUAAGAGCAAGGCAUGAGAGGAGACUCCAAGUAAGAGAUGUGAGACCAGAAAUUGGAGAUGAUGAGAGAAGCCAAGACAGGG